GCCUGGCUGCCUCAGUUGGUAGAGUAUGCAACUCUUGAUCUCAGGGUUGUGAGUUCGAGCCCCACGCUGGGUG
rfam:Ailuropoda melanoleuca scaffold460_20, whole genome shotgun sequence.